rnacentral:rRNA from 1 species
GGGGAAUAUUGGACAAUGGGCGGAAGCCUGAUCCAGCCAUGCCGCGUGAGUGAUGAAGGCCUUAGGGUUGUAAAGCUCUUUCGCCGAGGACGAUAAUGACGGUACUCGGAUAAGAAGCCCCGGCUAACUUCGUGCCAGCAGCCGCGGUAAUACGAAGGGGGCUAGCGUUGUUCGGAAUUACUGGGCGUAAAGCGUAUGUAGGCGGGUCGUUAAGUUAGGGGUGAAAUCCCAAGGCUCAACCUUGGAACUGCCCUUGAUACUGGCGAUCUUGAGUCCGGAAGAGGUAAGUGGAACUGCGAGUGUAGAGGUGAAAUUCGUAGAUAUUCGCAAGAACACCAGUGGCGAAGGCGGCUUACUGGUCCGGUACUGACGCUGAGAUACGAAAGCGUGGGGAGCAAAC